CUGCUGCCUCCCGUAGGAGUUUGGGCCGUGUCUCAGUCCCAAUGUGGCCGUUCACCCUCUCAGGCCGGCUACUGAUCGUCGCCUUGGUGGGCCUUUACCCCGCCAACAAGCUAAUCAGACGCGGAUCCAUCGUAUACCACCAAAAGCUUUAGCUUUUUGUUUUCCACACUGUUUCAUGCGAAGCUGUGCGCUUAUGCGGUAUUAGCACCUAUUUCUAAGUGUUAUCCCCCAGUAUACGGCAGGUUCUCCACGCGUUA
rnacentral:rRNA from 1 species